GAAUGGGAUUACAUUGAAUCUCUUGAUUGCUUAGGAGAGUAUUGCCAUUUUAACCAUAUUAAAUCUACCAAUCCAUGAACAUGGGAUGUCUUUCCAUUUAUUUAAGUGUUCUUCAAUUUUUACAACAAAAAUUUUCAGUGUACAAGUCUUUUUCACCUUUUAGGUUACAUUUAUUUCUAGGUAUUUUAUUCUUUGGGAUUACAGGCACGUACCACCAUACCUGCCUAAUUUUUUUUUUUUUUAAUUUUUGGUAGAGAUGAGGUCUCACAAUGUUUCCCAGGAUGGUCUCAAACUCCUGAGAUCAAGUGAUCGUUCCACCGUGGCCUCCCAAACUGUUGGGACUACAGGCGUAGCCAUAACACCUGGACCUUUCUUCUUUUUAAAUGUAGGCUCUUACAGCUGUAAAUUUAUUUCUGAGCACUGAUUUGGCUGCAUCUCAUGAAUCUUGGUAUGUUGUGUUUUCAUUUUCACUAACCUCACAGUAUCUUCCAAUUUCCCUGGUGAGUUUUUCUUUAACCCAUUGGUUGUUUAAGAGCAUGUUGUUUACUUUCCACGUAUUUGCUACUUUUCCAGUUCCCUUCUGUUACUGAUUUCUGGCUUAAUUCUAUUGUGAUCAGAGAAGAAUCUUUGCAUGAUUUUGAUCUUUUUAAAUCUGAGAAACACUUUAUGGACUUAAAAAAAA
rnacentral:lncRNA from 1 species